AAGGGUUUCCGUAGGUGAACCUGCGGAAGGAUCAUUA
rnacentral:rRNA from 1 species